UCCGGUUUAACACCGGCAGUCUCCCGUGAGUCCCCACCACCCCCGAAAGGGCGUGCUGGCAACACAGGAUAAGGGUUGCGCUCGUUGCGGGACUUAACCCAACAUCUCACGACACGAGCUGACGACAGCCAUGCACCACCUGUACACCGACUCAAAGAGAGACCCUGUCUCCAGGGUUUUCCGGCGUAUGUCAAGCCUUGGUAAGGUUCUUCGCGUUGCGUCGAAUUAAGCCACAUGCUCCGCCGCUUGUGCGGGCCCCCGUCAAUUCCUUUGAGUUUCAUUCUUGCGAACGUACUCCCCAGGUGGCAUGCUUACUGCGUUAACUGCGUCACUGCCCCCGAAGGGGCAACAACUAGCAUGCAUCGUUUACAGCGUGGACUAC
rnacentral:misc_RNA from 1 species